GGCAUGGUGGCUUAGUGGUAUAGCAUGUUUGAUUCAGACCUCCUCGGUUGGGGGUUCGAAUCCAGCCUCUGCCC